rnacentral:rRNA from 1 species
AGCGAACGCUGGCGGCAGGCCUAACACAUGCAAGUCGAACGAACCCUUCGGGGUUAGUGGCGGACGGGUGAGUAACACGUGGGAACGUGCCUUUAGGUUCGGAAUAACUCAGGGAAACUUGUGCUAAUACCGAAUGUGCCCUUCGGGGGAAAGAUUUAUCGCCUUUAGAGCGGCCCGCGUCUGAUUAGCUAGUUGGUGAGGUAAUGGCUCACCAAGGCUACGAUCAGUAGCUGGUCUGAGAGGAUGACCAGCCACAUUGGGACUGAGACACGGCCCAAACUCCUACGGGAGGCAGCAGGGAGGAAGCUUGCGCAAUGGGCGAAAGCCUGACGCAGCCAUGCCGCGUGGAUGAUGAAGGUCUUAGGAUUGUAAAAUCCUUUCACCGGUGAAGAUAAUGACUGUAGCCGGAGAAGAAGCCCCGGCUAACUUCGUGCCAGCAGCCGCCGUAAAAC